AGAGAGUGCAUCACGAAUAAAUGC
rnacentral:siRNA from 1 species